rnacentral:rRNA from 1 species
UAGGGAAUCUUCGGCAAUGGACGAAAGUCUGACCGAGCAACGCCGCGUGAGUGAAGAAGGUUUUCGGAUCGUAAAACUCUGUUGUUAGAGAAGAACAAGGACGUUAGUAACUGAACGUCCCCUGACGGUAUCUAACCAGAAAGCCACGGCUAACUACGUGCCAGCAGCCGCGGUAAUACGUAGGUGGCAAGCGUUGUCCGGAGUUAUUGGGCGUAAAGCGAGCGCAGGCGGUUUCUUAAGUCUGAUGUGAAAGCCCCCGGCUCAACCGGGGAGGGUCAUUGGAAACUGGGGGACUUGAGUGCAGAAGAGGAGGGUGGAAUUCCAUGUGUAGCGGUGAAAUGCGUAGAUAUAUGGAGGAACACCAGUGGCGAAGGCGGCUCUCUGGUCUGUAACUGACGCUGAGGCUCGAAAGCGUGGGGAGCAAACAGG